rnacentral:rRNA from 1 species
AGUAAAAAAAAAGAGUUUAUAACGGAUAUCUAUGUAUUAAAGGAAAGGGGACGUAAUAUAUGAACGAAAAGUUAGAGGGAGCACAUUAAAAAAAAGUGUAGGAAUAUAUAUUGAAGAUCUCUAAAUAUCCCAGCAGAAAACUGAAAAGAAGAAAAAACUUAGUGAAGUGAAACAUCUCAGUAACUAAAGGAAAAGAAAUUAACAAAGAUUCUGAAAGUAGUGGUGAGCGAAAUCAAAGGAGCAGAGUAAGAACUAUUUAUGAAAGGAAUGAAAUAAGGUGGAAUACCUUUGCGAAACAAGGUGAUAGUCCUGUAGUUAAAAAAGGGUAAAUAGAAGAUAUGAGUAAAACGAAAAACGUGGAAUUUUGUUUGAAUGAUGGGGGCCCACCCUCAAACUCUACAUAUACUUUAAUGACUGAUAGUGAACAAGUACUGUGAAGGAAAGAUGAAAAAGAAAUUUUAGAAAAAUCUAAGUAGUGAAAAGAAAUUGAAAUUGUAAAUUCGAUGAGCAAUUGGAAAUUUAUAUAUAAUAUGAAAUAACAAUGUACCUUUUGUAUAAUGGGUCAGCGAGUUAAUUAAUAUAGCAAGCUUAAGAUAAUAAUUGUAGGCGUAGCGAAAGCGAAUUUUAAAAGGUGUUUUGAGUUAUAUUUUUUAGACCCGAAGCCAAGUGAUCUAAUCAUGAAUAAGUAAGUUUAAAAUAAUUUUUUUUUAAAUUUGACUGAACCCUUGUCUGUUGCAAAAUACUGGGAUGAUUUGUGAUUCGGAGUGAAAGGCUAAUCAAACUUGGUGAUAGCUGUUUUUUACGAAAUCUAUUGAGGUAGAGCGAUAUAUUUAAAAAAUUUAUUGGGGUAGAGUUACUGAGUGAUUAUAAUGGAGCAAUUUGUUUUAUCAUUUAAACUUCAAAUACGAUAAAUGGUUAUAUAUUAGGCAGACUUUGAGUGCUAAGGUUCAAAGUCGAGAGGGAAACAGCCCAGAUUGUAAGUUAACGUUCUGAAAUAAUAAUGAAGUGUAAAAGACGUGAAAAAAGUGAAGUUAAUUGGGAGGUAGGCUUGGAAGCAGCUAUCCUUUAAAGAAAGCGUAACAGCUCACCAAUUUAAGGCUUUUAUUCUGUCAACAAUGUAUAUGAACUAAGUAUUAUACGGAAACUACAAAAUUAAAAAAAAUUGGUAGUAAAAUGUUUUGUAUGUCGGUGAAGUAUAAUUAAGAAAAUUAUGAUGGAGAUAUCAAAAUUAAGAAUGCUGAUAUGAGUAAUGUUAUAUAAUGUAAAAACAUUAUCACUGUAAAUUAGAGGGUUCCUAAUAAAACGUUAAACGUAUUAGGGUUAGGCGGUUCCUAAGGUAGGUAUGAAAAUAUUUUUACUGAUGGAUAUUUAGAUUAAUAAUUCUAAACUUUAUAUUAAUGACAAUGCACUAUGAAAACUACGUAUGUAUACUAUAAUUAUUUAGUUUUUGUAUUGUGUUUAAAAAAGAGUUAAUAUAUAUUAUAAACCGUACUUAAACCGACACCGGUUAAUUGAUAGAGAUUAUUAAAGUGUAGAGUGAAUAAUACUGAAGGAACUCGGCAAAAUGACUCUGUAACUUCGGGAUAAAGAGUACCUUUUUUUAGGUCUAGAAAAUAGGGGGUAGCGACUGUUUAACAAAAACACAGGGCUCUGCAAAAUAGUAAUAUGAUGUAUAGGGCCUGAUACCUGCCCGGUGCUGCAAAAUGAAGAGGAGGAAUGCAAGUUCCGAAUUUAAGUCUCAGUAAACGGCGGCUGUAACCUUGACGGUCCUAAGGUAGCGAAAUUCCUUGUCGAGUAAUUUUCGACGUGCAUGAAUGGUUUAACGACUUCCCUACUGUCUCCAGUAGUAUCUCAAUGAAGUUGAAUUUUCCGUGAAGAUGCGGAAUAAUAGCAGCUAGACGGAAAGACCCUAUGCACCUUAACUUUGAUUAUAUAUUGUGUGACUGUUCUUGUGAUGUAGGAUAUUUAGGAAGCUUAUGAUCUUUUGAUUCAGGUCAAUUUAAGGGAGGCGUUGGUGAAAUACUAAAUGAAUUUGAAUUUAACACUAAAAAUAAAUAGUGUAUAGUAGGUAGUUUGACUGGGGUGGUCGCCUAAAGAGUAACGGAGGUGUACAAAGGUAAAUUUAGGUUAAUUUUAUUAAUCUUAAAAGUGCAAUGGCAAAAGUUUGCUUGACUGAAAGACAUACAAGUCGAUCAGAGACGAAAGUCGGUCAUAGUGAUCCGGUAAUUCUGUGUGGAAAGGUUACCGCUAACGGAUAAAAGGUACGCUAGGGAUAACAGGCUAGUUCCGGAUUUGAGUUCUUAUCUAUUCCGGAGUUCGGCACCUCGAUGUCGGCUCAUCUUGUCCUGGGGUUGUAGUAGUUCCCAAGGGUACUGGUGUUCACAGUUUAAAAAGGUACGUGAGCUGGGUUCAGAACGUCGUGAGACAGUUCGGUCCCUAUCUACUGUUAUAAUGAAAAAAUGAAAAUGCUGAUUCUAGUACGAGAGGAUUGAGGAGGGUAAACCGCUGGUGUAUUAAUUAUUUUUUGAAAAGUAUAGUUAAGUAGCUACGUUUAAAUAUAAAUGAUUGAUAAUAUCAUUUUGAAAUAACCGCUGAAGAAAUAUUAAGUGGGAAGUUUAUUUUCAAAUUUUAAUUCAGGUUGAAGACUACAACUUAGAUAGGCCACAAAUAAAAUAUAUAGUAAUAUAUUUUGCUGGUAUUUAUAAAAUAUUGCAUCCUUAAUUAUUUAAGAAGUUUAGUGGUACUAAAAA